rnacentral:rRNA from 1 species
UACGGAGGGUGCGAGCGUUGUUCGGAAUCACUGGGCGUAAAGGGCGUGUAGGCGGUCCGCUAAGUCUGAUGUGAAAGCCCGGGGCUCACCCCCGGAAGUGCAUUGGAAACUGGCGAACUCGAGUCCCGGAGAGGAGGGUGGAAUUCCUGGUGUAGCGGUGAAAUGCGUAGAUAUCAGGAGGAACACCGGUGGCGAAGGCGGCCCUCUGGACGGUGACUGACGCUGAGACGCGAAAGCGUGGGGAGCAAACAGG